AGAAGGUGAGACACAGGUGAUCACCUGAGACUCAACACUUUCUCUGCCAUGGAAACACUCUCAUUCAGGUUGUCCUUAAUCAUGCUUUUUUUUGGGAAGUCCUUUAUAGUAAGAUCUUUUUUUUAACAAACACUCAGUUACUCAGAUUUCUUUUUGAUUUCACUGAAACAGAGGCAACAAACUGUAUUGAAAGCAUUUCUAGUUUUCUGUGUAGGUCGAUUUUGUGCAUAAAAGUCACCACUAAUCAAAAAUAAACAUUUCUGAUUAUUUAAGAAUAUAGUCAAUGACCGUCUCCUGUGUUGAAAAGCUCAGUGAUAUCUUACAAUUCAACCGGGAUCUGGUCAAAACUAGAGGUCAACGAGUGAUUUCUUUGCUCUAUAAAAGGAAAUUCCUGCUUUAAAGUAACAAUCCUUUAAACUCAAAAUGGGCCACACAAGAUAACAUUAGAAACAAGCUCGAAUAUGUUUUCUUACCACUUCAUCCCAUUUUGUUGCCAACACAUCAGGAUAAACAAUACCCACUGCCCCGCAGAGUACCAAAUGGAGAUAUAUUUGAACAACAAUAAAAACCUUUUUUUUUUUUCUUUUUUGCAAAAAUCAAA